GGAACCAACUGUAUUCUGUCUCAGCUCGUCCUCUAAGUGCUAAGCCAUUUGCUCUAUAAAGAGUCAUUAUUUCAUGCACAUAACCAUGGGGGUUCACAUAAGCACUGAGCGGACCUUCAGUAGACAUCACCAACAUAUCACUGCGCUUGGCUAUAACUGUCUUGCAGUUUUUACAUUGGAUGAUAUCAAUAGAUUUGAGUAACUCAAUUUCCCGACGCAAUCUAUAUGAAAUGCC
rnacentral:misc_RNA from 1 species